ensembl:lncRNA
AUGACGGAGCCUCCUGUUUCUCUGCUGGUUCCGUCCAGCCCUGAUCCUCCUGUGUUCCCUCCCUGCCUCCCUCUCCCGCCUCCUCCUAGACCAGUCAGUUCCUCAACCUCAUCUCCGCUGGUGCCAGUCAGUCCCGCAGCUCACCCUCAGUCAGCGCCAUCUGGGCGCUCCGGUCAGCCUCGGGACUUCCAGGCUCCAGCUCCGCCUUGGUGUAGGGAUGCCCUGUCUCCGCCUCCAGCCUCCGGGCCCUGGACCCCACCUCGGUCCUUCAACCCAGCGGCUCCACCUUGGCUCUUAGCUCCCUUGUCUCCACUGUGGCCGGCAUCCCACCAGCUCCACCGGGUUCCCUCAUCCCUCCGGCUCCACCUUGGUCAGUCGUCGACCAUCCGCUGCCUCGGGACUCCAUUCCUCUGGCUUCGCCUCGUCACUCCAUCCCUCCGGCUCUGUCAGGCUCCUCCUUCCCUCUGGUUCCGCUUUCUUCCUCGGUCACUCCAGCUCUGCAGCGGUCUUCCGGGGCCCCGCCUCUGCCUUGGUUGCCUGAGCCUUCUGCUCUGCCUUGGCCCUCCAGAUCCUCGGCUUCACCCUGGCUCUCCAUCUGCUUGGCUCCAACCUGGGCUCCUGAUCCACCGGCGCAGUCUCCGUCAGUCGAACCCCUGGUGUUGUCGGCUCCUCUUCCACCAUGGCUCCUCCCGCCGUCAACUCCACCGUGGGUCAUCUUGGCUGGUCUCUGGAGGACCAUCUGGCUCCUCCUGCUCCGGGCUCCUCCCUGGCUCCUCCCUCCAACUCCACCCUGGUUCCAUGCUCGAUGCUCCCUCUCCCUUGCCUGCCCCUUGCCUGCCCCACGCCCACCUCCAGAACCCCCACCCUCCCUCCGCUGGAAUUUAUCUUUCGGUGCGAGGACGCACCGUUCCGGGAGGGGGCGAACUGUUACGUUCAUGGACUUUGUUUCCCUAUUUUGGUCAUGUCCUGUUUCUUGUUUGCUUUAUCCCCACCUGUUCUCAAUUCCCCAGAUUACCUCCCUUGUGUUUAAAGCCCUGUCUGUUUAGUUCCUCCUUGUCCGCCGAUUGUCUAUAG